ensembl:lncRNA
GUUAAGCUUGCUGGUAGUUCUACCAGGAGGACUCAAAUCACGCGCGGCUGGCCGCCAAUCACCAAUCACCAGCUACCAAUCACCUGCCUACACCUGCUCUAUAAAGAGUAGUCUAACAUAUGUCUUUCCUGCUCAGGUCUUCGUUCGACGCACCUCCAUCCACCCCACCACCACCAGGUCGGCCUCAGUCUACUUGUCCAGGGGAAGGCUCCGCCCCUGCUAGUCCUGGCAGGAUACGCCGAGUCCGCACGUCACCCUGGAUCAGUGACGGGGCUCAUGCCAAAGAUUUACCAUGCAAAAUAUUCCCAUGUCGUUAUUUAAAUAAAUCCUGUUCAUACUUAUCAGUGAUCGAGUCUUUAUGGGAGAACUAGCAGUUAACCAAGUUAAUAUCAAACAUCAUAAAACAAGGUGAUUUGUAGAUUUCUCUAAACUUACA